rnacentral:rRNA from 1 species
AGUGAACGCUGGCGGUAGGCCUAACACAUGCAAGUCGAACGGCAGCACAGUAAGAGCUUGCUCUUACGGGUGGCGAGUGGCGGACGGGUGACGAAUACAUCGGCAUCUACUUUUUCUUGUGGGAUAACGUAGGGACACUUCCGCUAAUACCGCAUACGACCUACGGGUGAAAGCAGGGGAUCUUCGCACCUUGCGCGAUUGAAUGAGCCGAUGUCGGAUUAGCUAGUUGGCGGGGUAAAGGCCCACCAAGGCGACGAUCCGUAGCUGGUCUGAGAGGAUGAUCAGCCACACUGGAACUGAGACACGGUCCAGACUCCUACGGGAGGCAGCAGUGGGGAAUAUUGGGCAAUGGGCGCAAGCCUGAUCCAGCCAUACCGCGUGGGUGAAGAAGGCCUUCGGGUUGUAAAGCCCUUUUGUUGGGAAAGAAAAGCAGCAGGUUAAUACCCCGCUGUUCUGACGGUACCCAAAGAAUAAGCACCGGCUAACUUCGUG